rnacentral:RNase_P_RNA from 1 species
UGAGGAAGACAGGCAAUCGCGAACUGCCUCGACAGUUCGAGGAAAGUCCGAACUCCAUAGAGCAGAAUGCUGGUUAACGACCAGUGAGGGCGACUUCAAGGAAAGUGCCACAGAAACAUACCGCCUGAGUGUAGAAUAUUCUUAUUCGCAUAUCGGGUAAGGGUGAAAUGGUGAGGUAAGAGCUUACCAGCAGCCGGGUGAUCGGCUGGCUGGGUAAACCCCAUUUGGAGCAAGACCAAAUAGAAGGAUUAGCCUGUCCGCCUUGUGUGGAUAGACUUGCAGGCUGCUCGUCUGUCAACCUUCGGGUUGGUUGCUUGAGGCAUCGGGUAACCGAUGUCCCAGAUAGAUGAUUGCCACCCGGAAAGUCGUAAGGCUUUCCAGGUACAAAAUUCGGCUUAUGGCUUGCUCAAACC